UGAUCAGCCACAUGGAACUGAGACACGGUCCAGACUCCUACGGGGAGGCAGCAGUGGGGAAUAUUGCACAAUGGGCGCAAGCCUGAGGCAGCCAUGCCGCGUGUGUGAAGAAGGCCUUCGGGUUGUAAAGCACUUUCAGUUCGUGAGGAAGGUGGUGUAGUUAAUAGCUGCAUUAUUUGACGUUAGCGACAGAAGAAGCACCGGCUAACUCCCUGCCAGCAGCCGCGGUAAUACGGAGGGUGCGAGCGUUAAUCGGAAUUACUGGGGCGUAAAGCGCAUGCAGGUGGUUUGUUAAGUCAGAUGUGAAAGCCCGGGGCUCAACCUCGGAAUUGCAUUUGAAACUGGCAGACUAGAGUACUGUAGAGGGGGGUAGAAUUUCAGGUGUAGCGGUGAAAUGCGUAGAGAUCUGAAGGAAUACCGGUGGCGAAGGCGGCCCCCUGGACAGAUACUGACACUCAGAUGCGAAAGCGUGGGGAGCAAACAGGAUUAGAUACCCUGGUAGUCCACGCCGUAAACGAUGUCUACUUGGAGGUUGUGGCCUUGAGCCGUGGCUUUCGGAGCUAACGCGUUAAGUAGACCGCCUGGGGAGUACGGUCGCAAGAUUAAAACUCAAAUGAAUUGACGGGGGCCCGCACAAGCGGUGGAGCAUGUGGUUUAAUUCGAUGCAACGCGAAGAACCUUACCUACUCUUGACAUCCAGAGAACUUUCCAGAGAUGGAUUGGUGCCUUCGGGAACUCUGAGACAGGUGCUGCAUGGCUGUCGUCAGCUCGUGUUGUGAAAUGUUGGGUUAAGUCCCGCAACGAGCGCAACCCUUAUCCUUGUUUGCCAGCGAGUAAUGUCGGGAACUCCAGGGAGACUGCCGGUGAUAAACCGGAGGAAGGUGGGGACGACGUCAAGUCAUCAUGGCCCUUACGAGUAGGGCUACACACGUGCUACAAUGGCGCAUACAGAGGGCAGCCAACUUGCGAAAGUGAGCGAAUCCCAAAAAGUGCGUCGUAGUCCGGAUUGGAGUCUGCAACUCGACUCCAUGAAGUCGGAAUCGCUAGUAAUCGUGGAUCAGAAUGCCACGGUGAAUACGUUCCCUGGGCCUUGUACACGCCGCCCGACACACCAAAAAAGUGCCC
rnacentral:rRNA from 1 species